GUUUCUCCCCGGUGGAUGAGCCUAGCUCCUCCACAACAACAGCAAAGCCCAAUGAUGGUGUCACAACCGUUGUCCCAGUCGCCGACAUCACCGCUGCCGUUUGAAUGCUUAAGAGAGACGUCUAACAAAGAUUGGAAUUUUGUAGGAAUAGCUGUGAUGAAUGGGAAACAAGCUAUCUUCAGUGGGCAUCAUGACUAGCUGAAACAAUCCAAGAGCCGUCCCUCACCCUUGCUGCCUUUCCGACGGUUCACGCAGCGGCUGAAUAUCCUAUUUUUGCUUAUCAUUGCCUUCAAUUCUCGAUCUCUGUCUCAUUGCUAGCAUUGUUGGCUUCUUUGUGGUGGAAUAACCAAGCUCCUCCACAACAAGAGCAAUAAGAAUCGUUUGCAUCGUUGUCGCUGCCGCCAAUGGUAUCACAGUUGUUGCAGUUCCAGUUGCCGAUGUCAUCGUUGUCGUUCGGAUGCUCGAACUCAAACUCGCUACCGUAAUCGGCGCUACAGUCCUUAAAGUCGGACCCAUUAGUAUCAAAGCCUUCAUUAGACUCUCGGUCACUCAAAAAGAAAUUACAAAGACAUAUCAAAGUCCUCGAGAAGUUCCCUUUUCAUCCUUUGCCACGUGGUUAUUUUUAACUCGAUCCUUCAUUACAAUUUAAUCUAAAAUCUUAUUCUUUUAA